rnacentral:rRNA from 1 species
UGGAGGAAAGCAGGGGAUCGCAAGACCUUGCGCUUUUAGAGUGGCCGAUGCCUGAUUAGCUAGUUGGUGGGGUAAUGGCCUACCAAGGCGACGAUCAGUAGUUGGUCUGAGAGGACGACCAGCCACACUGGGACUGAGACACGGCCCAGACUCCUACGGGAGGCAGCAGUGGGGAAUUUUGGACAAUGGGCGAAAGCCUGAUCCAGCAAUGCCGCGUGAGUGAAGAAGGCCUUCGGGUUGUAAAGCUCUUUCAGUCGAGAAGAAAAGGUUGUGACUAAUAAUCACAACUCAUGACGGUAUCGACAGAAGAAGCACCGGCUAACUACGUGCUAGCAGCCGCGGUAAUACGUAGGGUGCGAGCGUUAAUCGGAAUUACUGGGCGUAAAGGGUGCGCAGGCGGCUUUGUAAGUCAGAUGUGA